rnacentral:rRNA from 1 species
GNNANGCCGGGNGNUUACACAUGCAAGUCGAACGAUGAUGCCCAGCUUGCUGGGUUGAUUAGUGGCGAACGGGUGAGUAACACGUGAGUAACCUGCCCCUGACUCUGGGAUAAGCGUUGGAAACGACGUCUAAUACUGGAUAUGAUCGCCGGCCGCAUGGUCUGGUGGUGGAAAGAUUUUUUGGUUGGGGAUGGACUCGCGGCCUAUCAGCUUGUUGGUGAGGUAAUGGCUCACCAAGGCGACGACGGGUAGCCGGCCUGAGAGGGUGACCGGCCACACUGGGACUGAGACACGGCCCAGACUCCUACGGGAGGCAGCAGUGGGGAAUAUUGCACAAUGGGCGAAAGCCUGAUGCAGCAACGCCGCGUGAGGGAUGACGGCCUUCGGGUUGUAAACCUCUUUUAGUAGGGAAGAAGCGAAAGUGACGGUACCUGCAGAAAAAGCACCGGCUAACUACGUGCCAGCAGCCGCGGUAAUACGUAGGGUGCAAGCGUUGUCCGGAAUUAUUGGGCGUAAAGAGCUCGUAGGCGGUUUGUCGCGUCUGCUGUGAAAUCCCGAGGCUCAACCUCGGGCUUGCAGUGGGUACGGGCAGACUAGAGUGCGGUAGGGGAGAUUGGAAUUCCUGGUGUAGCGGUGGAAUGCGCAGAUAUCAGGAGGAACACCGAUGGCGAAGGCAGAUCUCUGGGCCGUAACUGACGCUGAGGAGCGAAAGCAUGGGGAGCGAACAGGNAUUAGAUACCCUGGUAGUCCAUGCCGUAAACGUUGGGCGCUAGAUGUAGGGACCUUUCCACGGUUUCUGUGUCGUAGCUAACGCAUUAAGCGCCCCGCCUGGGGAGUACGGCCGCAAGGCUAAAACUCAAAGGAAUUGACGGGGGCCCGCACAAGCGGCGGAGCAUGCGGAUUNAAUUCGAUGCAACGCGAAGAACCUUACCAAGGCUUGACAUACACCGGAAACGGCCAGAGAUGGUCGCCCCCUUGUGGUCGGUGUACAGGUGGUGCAUGGUUGUCGUCAGCUCGUGUCGUGAGAUGUUGGGUUAAGUCCCGCAACGAGCGCAACCCUCGUUCUAUGUUGCCAGCGGGUCAUGCCGGGGACUCAUAGGAGACUGCCGGGGUCAACUCGGAGGAAGGUGGGGAUGACGUCAAAUCAUCAUGCCCCUUAUGUCUUGGGCUUCACGCAUGCUACAAUGGCCGGUACAAAGGGCUGCGAUACCGUAAGGUGGAGCGAAUCCCAAAAAGCCGGUCUCAGUUCGGAUUGAGGUCUGCAACUCGACCUCAUGAAGUCGGAGUCGCUAGUAAUCGCAGAUCAGCAAACGCUNUUUGGAUUNGNNC